AUUGAACGCUGGCGGCAUGCUUUACACAUGCAAGUCGAACGGUAACAGGUUAAGCUGACGAGUGGCGAACGGGUGAGUAAUGCAUCGGAUCGUGCCCGAUCGCGGGGGAUAACGCAGCGAAAGCUGCGCUAAUACCGCAUACGAUCUGAGGAUGAAAGCGGGGGACCGUAAUGCCUCGCGCGAUCGGAGCGGCCGAUGUCAGAUUAGGUAGUUGGUGGGGUAAAGGCCCCCCAAGCCGACGAUCUGUAGCUGGUCUGAGAGGACGACCAGCCACACUGGGACUGAGACACGGCCAAGACUCCUACGGGAGGCAGCAGUGGGGAAUUUUGGACAAUGGACGAAAGCCUGAUCCAGCAAUGCCGCGUGCAGGAAGAAGGCCUUCGGGUUGUAAACUGCUUUUGUACGGAGCGAAAAGGUCCUUUCUAAUACAAGGGGCUCAUGACGGUACCGUAAGAAUAAGCACCGGCUAACUACGUGCCAGCCGCCGCGGUAACAC
rnacentral:rRNA from 1 species